rnacentral:tRNA from 1 species
GCCCUCUUAGCUCAAUCGGAAGAGCGCCAGACUUUUAAACCCAAAACCAGGUCAUCUGGCGGUCGUGAGUUCGAGCCUCACAGAGGGCG